GACGAACGCUGGCGGCGUGCCUAAUACAUGCAAGUUGAGCGCUGAAGGUUGGUACUUGUACCAACUGGAUGAGCAGCGAACGGGUGAGUAACGCGUGGGGAAUCUGCCUUUGAGCGGGGGACAACAUUUGGAAACGAAUGCUAAUACCGCAUAAAAACUUUAAACACAAGUUUUAAGUUUGAAAGAUGCAAUUGCAUCACUCAAAGAUGAUCCCGCGUUGUAUUAGCUAGUUGGUGAGGUAAAGGCUCACCAAGGCGAUGAUACAUAGCCGACCUGAGAGGGUGGACGGCCACCAUGGGACUGAGACACGGCCCAAACUCCUACGGGAGGCAGCAGUAGGGAAUCUUCGGCAAUGGACGAAAGUCUGACCGAGCAACGCCGCGGGAGUGAAGAAGGUUUUCGGAUCGGAAAACUCUGUUGGUAGGGAAGAACGUUGGUGAGAGUGGAAAGCUCAUCAAGUGACGGUAACUACCCAGAAAGGGACGGCUAACUACGUG
rnacentral:rRNA from 1 species